rnacentral:rRNA from 1 species
AGGGAUGCAAAUCCGCGAGGAGGAGCGAACCCCCAAAAGCCGUCUCAGUUCGGAUCGCAGGCUGCAACCCGCCUGCGUGAAGUCGGAAUCGCUAGUAAUCGCGGAUCAGCAUGCCGCGGUGAAUACGUUCCCGGGCCUUGUACACACCGCCCGUCACACCAUGAGAGUCGGGAACACCCGAAGUCCGUAGCCUAACUAGCAAUAGAGGGCGCGGCCGAAGGUGGGUUCGAUAAUUGGGGUGAAGUCGUAACAAGGUAAC